AUACGGAGGAUCCGAGCGUUAUCCGGAUUUAUUGGGUUUAAAGGGUGCGCAGGCGGCCAUUUAAGUCAGCGGUUAAAUCGUGGGGCUCAACCCCAUUCUGCCGUUGAUACUGGGUGGCUUGAUUGCGGUCGAGGUUGGCGGAAUUCGUUGUGUAGCGGUGAAAUGCAUAGAUAUGACGAAGAACACCGAUUGCGUAGGCAGCUGACCAGACCGCAAAUGACGCUCAUGCACGAAAGUGCGGGAUCGAACAGGAUUAGAUACCCUGGUAGUCCGCACAGUAAACGAUGAAUACUUGUUUUCGGCGAUAUAAUGUCGGAGGCAAAGCGAAAGCGAUAAGUAUUCCACCUGGGGAGUACGCCGGCAACGGUGAAACUCAAAUGAAUUGACGGGG
rnacentral:rRNA from 1 species